GACGGAGGUGCAAGUGUUAUCCGGGAAUCACUGGGGCGUAAAGCGUCUGUAGGUGGUCGAAAAGUCCACUGUUAAAAAUUGAGGCUUAACUUCAAGAUGCCGUGGAACUUUCAAACUAGAGUAUGGUAGGGGGUAGAGGGAAUUUCCAGUGGGAGCGGUGAAAUGCGUAGAUAUUGGGAAAGACCACCGAUGGCGAAGGCACUCUACUGGGCCAUUUACUGACACUGAGAGACGAAAGCUAGGGGGAGCAAAUGGGGAUUAGAUACCCCGGAG
rnacentral:rRNA from 1 species